AUAAAUGGUAUCGUUUAAUUUGUGACAUAUUUUCAACAUUCCUUUCUCAAAGUUUCAUAUGACAAGUGUACAGGAAUCAUUCUUUUCACAUAUAUAUUUAUAUAUCUUUUUUUCUCUCUCAUGUUAUUGCUUUACAGUAAAAUGCAUUGGUUGGAUAUGUCCAUUAAAGCAUGACAAUACAUUCAUAUACGUGUUACAGAUGUAUUCAGUUAUGGUUUAUAGUAACUAACAUGAAAUAUAGAUACAUUUAUAUUUUGAUCAUCAUACAUUUAUUAUUAUAAUCAUUGACAUGAAUCCCACAUCACAUUGAGGUCACAGUGCAUGGGGUCGCAGUUCAUACACGUAUUGAAUGUGUGUGUGCACUUAUUUUGUAAGUUCCCAUACAAUCCACAAUAUGUAAAGGUACAACAAUUAUGCCAUUUGAAUUUUAAUAGUUAAAAAAGUGACUUCAUAAACAGAUAUGUGAUCAUUGUGUUGGUAGACAGAGAAUGUUUGUGUCAAGUCUCAAAUGAAGAGCCCACCAGUUCAACUGAUGGUAAAUCAGUCAUGAUCAAAGCAUCUCAAAUGUACUGUAUGUACAAAUUAUCUAAAGAACAAAUGACUUCCAAUAGCUGUAAAAGUCUGCAUUAUCAACAUGUGCAUUAUAGGGUAAAUCUUUCAAAACCGGUCUAGAAAAUGUCCAGGUUAACAUUCACCCCAAAAUUAAAUAAAGUAAAUAAAGAUAUUAUAUUUUGCAUAAAGAAAAUGAAGUCUAUUAUUAAGAACCUAGAGUUUUUGCAUGGCAACAUUAUUUUCAUGAGAAUUAUACACAUUUCCCAUGAAUUCGUAUUAUGUAAAGCAACAAACAUAUAUAUAUAUGGACAAUAUAUUUGACAAUUCAGACUUUUUUCAUGCAGUUCUUCAGAAAGAAAGAACUGUGACAUAUAAACAUAUAAAUUGUGAAGAUAUUAACUUGCUAUUAUGAGAAAAAAAGUCUGAAUAUGCGAGAUAAAAAGUCUUAUUUUUUUCCUUUUUAAUUAUUAAAAAAACAGAAUUGCAAGAUGUAAACAAAAUUCUGAGGAAAAAGGUCAGAAUUGUAAGAUUUAAAUGAAGAUUCUGGGGGAAAGGUCAAAAUUGUGAGAUAAAAGUCACAAUUAUUCUUGGGUGGAAACAGGCUUCAAUACAUUAUAAUUAUAAAAUAAACCAAAAUGGGGGUAAAACAUUGAAACAAUGAGAGUUUGAGGGGGAAAUGUGCUUAAUUCUCUUUAAAUCAGUGUCACAAUAAACCAUUUUUAAUGGCACAAAAACAGACUUCAUGUGCAAAAUACAACGUCAGCUUUUGAUUUGGGGUGAAAUAUACCAUGGACAUAUUUUUGUGAGAUUUAACCCCAUUUUUAUUACAAAAUGGCACUAGUGAAUAUUCAUCUAUGCUUGGUUUUGUUCUCUAAAUGUUCCUGUAUCAGUCAGAAAUGCAUAUACUGUACAUGAAGUGUCUGUGCGAAAAGUCAAGAGGAACAAUGGUAACUGUCUCUGGAUGAAGUUGAGUUUGGAGGAUCCGCAAGACGCGCUUAAACCAAAAAAAGAAACACCUUCACCGUCUCCAUCACUUCUCACUGAAGCUCGUCUUCCUCGCAGAAGUUCAGGGCGGCUCAUUAGUCUGUGUUUGAGUCUGGAAGCGCCCUGUGAGGAGGACGUUAAUGCCCUGGAGAGCACAGCCACAUCCUCCCUGCAUAGUGUCCACUUCAAAACCACAUCCUAUUGCUAUUUCACUUCCAACAUUCAUAAAAAAAAAAAAUGACGUCCGGACUCUGUGCAGUGCUUAUAUUGCAUAAACCCAGUUCUCCCGACACAAAAACAGCUGCGGAUUUUCACAAUCUUUGAGUCACGUUUGGACCUGCAUGAUGGGAAAACAUCUCCGCCGAGGUUUGGUUCUGUAGCUGCCGGGUCGGGCAAGGGCUGUGGUUGCCAUGGAGACGACUGUCCAGAGAUCACCUCUGUGGAAUGUCCCACAAUGCACUGCAGUCGCAGGCGUGUGCUGAUGAUGGCUGUGUUCACACUGCAAAAAAUGAUCUUCCUUUGUGUUUUUGGCUCGUUUUCUAGAACAAAUACAUUCUUAAAUCAAUCUCUAAUCAUUUAUUUGAGAAGCAAAAUGACUUGAUAUUAAGUCUUGUUUCAUGAAAAAUUUGAGUUUUUCCUUAAAACAAGAAAAAAUACCUGUCAACAGGGUAAAAAUAAAUAAAUAAUUGUUUUCCCUUUGAAUUAAGUUAUUUUUUUCUGACCACACUGGCAGAUACAUGUACUUAUUUAAGUUUUAAGCUUAAACUUACUUAAUUUUGAAAGACAACAAGACCUAAUAUUUUAAUGAACUAAUAUUAAAACAAUGGGGUCAGAAAAUAAGAUUUCCGACUCUAAAAAACUCAAUUAAUUUUGAUACUUAAAAAAAACAAAAAACAAGACUUACAGGGCCUAACUUAAGUCACUUUUCAUCUCAAAUCAUGUUUUCUGAAUAUGUAAUUUUUACAUAUGUUUUCUUGUUUUAAGCAAAAACUCACUUUAUUUUAUUUUAUUUUGUGAAAAAAAAA
ensembl:lncRNA